AUUCAGUUUGAAAACCUAACCGUUACAACCCCACACCAGUAGGGGGCCGCUGCUCUGAGCAGACCGAUUCCCCCGUUAGAAGAAGAGAAAGCCACAGGACGGACCACGCGGCCCAGCUCACGGAGAGAUGAAUCCGGAUGGAGACAUUUGAGGAGAAGAUGGAUUAUCUGCUCAUGCUCUACAGGAGCUCCAUGUCACCUCGCUCUGCUCCAAAUCACAGCGUGCCAUUUGCCCAACAGCAGCUGGGCCAAAUAUCCAGUUAAAAAAAUAUGGCUGUGUACAGAUUCCUACGCCAAAGCUGUGGACCGGUGUCGGCGGCUGAGGGACACCAGCAUCCAGACAGAAGAUGAAGCAAGUGUCCAAAAAAGGCAGCGCCGACGCCCAAGGAGGUUCAUGACAGAUUCUUCAAGUGAUGGUAAGACCUUUAUUAUAGACUACAUUUUUUCACAUAUUUCAAAUCACAGAUUUUGCAAUGGGUACACGCUAUAUGGUCUCUGUAUUACAGAUGAAUCUGUUGCACGACCAGAUAAACUGUCCAGGACGGAGCGUGCGUCUGGAAGCCCUGUCUGGAAGUUAAA